CUCUGAUGUUUAUGGAACGGUAAAAUUAUCAUUGAUACUCUUUUUCUCUCCGCGCUAGCAAUUAUGUCCUCAUGCAUACUUGUCAUAGCAGAGAUUGCAGUUGUUGGUCGAAUUGACACCUUACUGAGUUGUCCGAAUGUCUCAAAUGCGACAAUGACUUGGUUUGAUUCCCCUACCUGUCCUUUAUUCCAGAAGGGAAGCCCGUUCUUUCUGGCCUUUUGAACCAUUAGAAUUGCUGAGGAUCUUUCAGUAAGCUCCAAGAGGUGCAUCGCGUAGACUGUCCUUUAUUCCAAAAUGGAAGCCCGUUCUUUCUGGCCUUGUGAACCAUUAGAAUUGCUGAGGAUCUUUCAGUAAGCUCCAAGAGGUGCAUCGCGUAGACGCGGAGCCCUUCUUUUUUCUCUGUUCCUCGAGAGGCUUCGAUAAGAUUUAUUAGUGUGGGAAUAUUUCUUGUGCCGUGAAAACAUGUCAAGAUUCGGAGUUGCGCCUUGCUUGUGUCUUUCCUCAUUAUUGUUCUGUGCUUGUAUUCCGUUACAGCCAUUUUGGCUGGCUUAUAUAUGGCUAUGACUAUUGGGGUUGUCAUGAAUGUUGUGAAGAGAGCCAUUAACACCAUGAUCGCAAAUAUUUGAUCGUUCAAUAC
rnacentral:lncRNA from 1 species